CGUCUAUAUACGUAUAGCAUAUCAAUAAGCGGAGGAAAAGAAACUAACUAGGAUUCCCUCAGUAACGGCGAGUGAAGCGGGAAGAGCUCAAAUUUGAAAGUCUUCAAGGUUCUACCUUGACGAAUUGUAGUUUAAAGAAGUGUUUUCUGUUGGAAGUUUUCGGUAAAAGUUCUUUGGAAUAGGACAUCAUAGAGGGUGAGAAUCCCGUAUUUGACCAUUAUUUCCAACUUUGUGAUACACUUUCAAAGAGUCGGAUUGUUUGGGAAUGCAGUCCAAAAUGGGUGGUAAAUUUCAUCUAAAGCUAAAUACUGGCGAGAGACCGAUAGCGAACAAGUACCGUGAAGGGAAAGAUGAAAAGAACUUUGAAAAGAGAGUUAAACAGUACGUGAAAUUGUCAAAAGGGAAGCGUUUGACACCAGUGUUGUUUUCUCGAAAAUCAAUUAAAAAUGGUGGGAUUUUGUGUUGUAUUGACUUUAUCAGCUUUCUGCACUUUUUUCCUAUCUUUUUUAAUGCACUUUUCGUUUAACAAGUCAACAUCAAUUUCUUUUGUUGUAAAAGGGUCAUUGGAAGGUGGCUUUCUUUUCGGAGAAAGUGUUUAUAGCCUUUGGCUUCUGCAAUCGGAGAGAUUGAGGUCUGCAGCGUAGAUCCUUCGGGGUUAGAUACAUUUGUGCUAAGCUAUAGCCUUUCAUAGACAACUUGUUGACUAUGCUCAGUCAUGUAGCUUACUCGCUUGUGCUAUUUUACCUACGCUUAGGAUGUUGACGAUCAGCUGAGCGC
rnacentral:rRNA from 1 species